rnacentral:rRNA from 1 species
UACGUAGGGUGCAAGCGUUAUCCGGAAUUAUUGGGCGUAAAGAGCUCGUAGGCGGUUCAGCAAGUCGGGUGUGAAAACUCCGGGCUCAACUCGGAGACGCCACUCGAUACUGCCAUGACUUGAGUCCGGUAGGGGAGUGCGGAAUUCCCGGUGUAGCGGUGAAAUGCGUAGAUAUCGGAAGGAACGCCGGUGGCGAAAGCGGCGUGCUGGACCUUUUCUGACGCUGAGGCGCGAAAGCCAGGGGAGCAAACGGG